AAAUAGGCUUUAUUGAAAGCCAUGGACAGUUCGCUAUUGAUUAUGU
rfam:Opisthorchis viverrini opera_v5_75.15, whole genome shotgun sequence.